UAAUACGAAGGGGGCUAGCGUUGUUCGGAAUUACUGGGCGUAAAGGGCGCGUAGGCGGCGAUAAUAGUCAGAAGUGAAAGCCCCGGGCUCAACCUGGGAAUUGCUUUUGAUACUGUAUUGCUUGAGUUCGGGAGAGGUGAGUGGAAUUCCCAGUGUAGAGGUGAAAUUCGUAGAUAUUGGGAAGAACACCGGUGGCGAAGGCGGCUCACUGGACCGACACUGACGCUGAGGCGCGAAAGCGUGGGGAGCAAACAGGAUUAGAUACCCUGGUAGUCCACGCCGUAAACGAUGUGCGCUAGACGUUGGGAAGCUUAGCUUCUCGGUGUCGCAGCUAACGCAUUAAGCGCACCGCCUGGGGAGUACGGCCGCAAGGUUA
rnacentral:rRNA from 1 species